rnacentral:rRNA from 1 species
GAUCUCCUACGGGAGGCAGCAGUGGGGAAUCUGGCACAAUGGGCGAAAGCCUGAUGCAGCCAUGCCGCGUGAAUGAUGAAGGCCUUAGGGUUGUAAAAUUCUUUCGCCAGGGAUGAUAAUGACAGUACCUGGUAAAGAAGCCCCGGCUAACUUCGUGCCAGCAGCCGCGGUAAUACGAAGGGGGCUAGCGUUGUUCGGAAUUACUGGGCGUAAAGCGCACGUAGGCGGACUUUUAAGUCAGAUGUGAAAUCCCGGGGCUCAACCUCGGAACUGCAUUUGAAACUGGAAGUCUAGAGACCAGGAGAGGUUAGCGGAAUACCGAGUGUAGAGGUGAAAUUCGUAGAUAUUCGGUGGAACACCAGUGGCGAAAGCGGCA